AUUGAACGCUGGCGGCAGGCCUAACACAUGCAAGUCGAGCGGAUGAAGGGAGCUUGCUCCUGGAUUCAGCGGCGGACGGGUGAGUAAUUCCUAGGAAUCUGCCUGGUAGUGGGGGAUAACGUCCGGAAACGGGCGCUAAUACCGCAUACGUCCUGAGGGAGAAAGUGGGGGAUCUUCGGACCUCACGCUAUCAGAUGAGCCUAGGUCGGAUUAGCUAGUUGGUGGGGUAAAGGCCUACCAAGGCGACGAUCCGUAACUGGUCUGAGAGGAUGAUCAGUCACACUGGAACUGAGACACGGUCCAGACUCCUACGGGAGGCAGCAGUGGGGAAUAUUGGACAAUGGGUGAAAGCCUGAUCCAGCCAUGCCGCGUGUGUGAAGAAGGUCUUCGGAUUGUAAAGCACUUUAAGUUGGGAGGAAGGGCAGUAAGUUAAUACCUUGCUGUUUUGACGUUACCAACAGAAUAAGCACCGGCUAACUUCGUG
rnacentral:rRNA from 1 species